UUAAGUUAUUAAGGGCGCACGGUGGAUGCCUUGGCACUAGAAGCCGAUGAAGGACGUUACUAACGACGAUAUGCUUUGGGGAGCUGUAAGUAAGCUUUGAUCCAGAGAUUUCCGAAUGGGGAAACCCAGCAUGAGUUAUGUCAUGUUAUCGAUAUGUGAAUACAUAGCAUAUCAGAAGGCACACCCGGAGAACUGAAACAUCUUAGUACCCGGAGGAAGAGAAAGAAAAUUCGAUUCCCUUAGUAGCGGCGAGCGAAACGGGAAGAGCCCAAACCAACAAGCUUGCUUGUUGGGGUUGUAGGACACUCUAUACGGAGUUACAAAGGACGACAUUAGACGAAUCAUCUGGAAAGAUGAAUCAAAGAAGGUAAUAAUCCUGUAGUCGAAAAUGUUGUCUCUCUUGAGUGGAUCCUGAGUACGACGGAGCACGUGAAAUUCCGUCGGAAUCUGGGAGGACCAUCUCCUAAGGCUAAAUACUCUCUAGUGACCGAUAGUGAACCAGUACCGUGAGGGAAAGGUGAAAAGCACCCCGGAAGGGGAGUGAAAUAGAACCUGAAACCGUGUGCUUACAAGUAGUCAGAGCCCGUUAAUGGGUGAUGGCGUGCCUUUUGUAGAAUGAACCGGCGAGUUACGAUUUGAUGCAAGGUUAAGCAGUAAAUGUGGAGCCGUAGCGAAAGCGAGUCUGAAUAGGGCGUUUAGUAUUUGGUCGUAGACCCGAAACCAGGUGAUCUACCCUUGGUCAGGUUGAAGUUCAGGUAACACUGAAUGGAGGACCGAACCGACUUACGUUGAAAAGUGAGCGGAUGAACUGAGGGUAGCGGAGAAAUUCCAAUCGAACCUGGAGAUAGCUGGUUCUCUCCGAAAUAGCUUUAGGGCUAGCCUCAAGUGAUGAUUAUUGGAGGUAGAGCACUGUUUGGACGAGGGGCCCCUCUCGGGUUACCGAAUUCAGACAAACUCCGAAUGCCAAUUAAUUUAACUUGGGAGUCAGAACAUGGGUGAUAAGGUCCGUGUUCGAAAGGGAAACAGCCCAGACCACCAGCUAAGGUCCCAAAAUAUAUGUUAAGUGGAAAAGGAUGUGGCGUUGCCCAGACAACUAGGAUGUUGGCUUAGAAGCAGCCAUCAUUUAAAGAGUGCGUAAUAGCUCACUAGUCGAGUGACACUGCGCCGAAAAUGUACCGGGGCUAAACAUAUUACCGAAGCUGUGGAUUGUCCUUUGGACAAUGGUAGGAGAGCGUUCUAAGGGCGUUGAAGCAUGAUCGUAAGGACAUGUGGAGCGCUUAGAAGUGAGAAUGCCGGUGUGAGUAGCGAAAGACGGGUGAGAAUCCCGUCCACCGAUUGACUAAGGUUUCCAGAGGAAGGCUCGUCCGCUCUGGGUUAGUCGGGUCCUAAGCUGAGGCCGACAGGCGUAGGCGAUGGAUAACAGGUUGAUAUUCCUGUACCACCUAUAAUCGUUUUAAUCGAUGGGGGGACGCAGUAGGAUAGGCGAAGCGUGCGAUUGGAUUGCACGUCUAAGCAGUAAGGCUGAGUAUUAGGCAAAUCCGGUACUCAUUAAGGCUGAGCUGUGAUGGGGAGAAGACAUUGUGUCUUCGAGUCGUUGAUUUCACACUGCCGAGAAAAGCCUCUAGAUAGAAAAUAGGUGCCCGUACCGCAAACCGACACAGGUAGUCAAGAUGAGAAUUCUAAGGUGAGCGAGCGAACUCUCGUUAAGGAACUCGGCAAAAUGACCCCGUAACUUCGGGAGAAGGGGUGCUCUUUAGGGUUAACGCCCAGAAGAGCCGCAGUGAAUAGGCCCAAGCGACUGUUUAUCAAAAACACAGGUCUCUGCUAAACCGUAAGGUGAUGUAUAGGGGCUGACGCCUGCCCGGUGCUGGAAGGUUAAGAGGAGUGGUUAGCUUCUGCGAAGCUAUGAAUCGAAGCCCCAGUAAACGGCGGCCGUAACUAUAACGGUCCUAAGGUAGCGAAAUUCCUUGUCGGGUAAGUUCCGACCCGCACGAAAGGCGUAACGAUUUGGGCACUGUCUCAACGAGAGACUCGGUGAAAUCAUAGUACCUGUGAAGAUGCAGGUUACCCGCGACAGGACGGAAAGACCCCGUGGAGCUUUACUGUAGCCUGAUAUUGAAAUUCGGCACAGCUUGUACAGGAUAGGUAGGAGCCUUUGAAACGUGAGCGCUAGCUUACGUGGAGGCGCUGGUGGGAUACUACCCUAGCUGUGUUGGCUUUCUAACCCGCACCACUUAUCGUGGUGGGAGACAGUGUCAGGCGGGCAGUUUGACUGGGGCGGUCGCCUCCUAAAAGGUAACGGAGGCGCUCAAAGGUUCCCUCAGAAUGGUUGGAAAUCAUUCAUAGAGUGUAAAGGCAUAAGGGAGCUUGACUGCGAGACCUACAAGUCGAGCAGGGUCGAAAGACGGACUUAGUGAUCCGGUGGUUCCGCAUGGAAGGGCCAUCGCUCAACGGAUAAAAGCUACCCCGGGGAUAACAGGCUUAUCUCCCCCAAGAGUUCACAUCGACGGGGAGGUUUGGCACCUCGAUGUCGGCUCAUCGCAUCCUGGGGCUGUAGUCGGUCCCAAGGGUUGGGCUGUUCGCCCAUUAAAGCGGUACGCGAGCUGGGUUCAGAACGUCGUGAGACAGUUCGGUCCCUAUCCGUCGUGGGCGUAGGAAAUUUGAGAGGAGCUGUCCUUAGUACGAGAGGACCGGGAUGGACAUACCUCUGGUGUACCAGUUGUCGUGCCAACGGCAUAGCUGGGUAGCUAUGUGUGGACGGGAUAAGUGCUGAAAGCAUCUAAGCAUGAAGCCCCCCUCAAGAUGAGAUUUCCCAACUUCGGUUAUAAGAUCCCUCAAAGAUGAUGAGGUUAAUAGGUUCGAGGUGGAAGCAUGGUGACAUGUGGAGCUGACGAAUACUAAUCGAUCGAAGACUUAAUCAA
rnacentral:rRNA from 1 species